AACGCCGGCGGCCAGGCUUCACACACGCAAGUCCGAAACGAGUCACACGAAGAAGCCCCCCUCUCUUCGAACGACGAGCGGCGGAACGGGCGAGUACAACGCCCGGGAAAUCAGCUUCCGGAGGAGGGAUAAACUCACGGGAAAACCGUAGCUAAUACCGCGUAGUAUCGAGAGACGAAAGUCGUCGGGACCUUUCGGGCCACACGCCAUAGGAUCGAGCCCAAGUCGGGAUUAAGGUAGUUCGGUGAGGUAAAGGCUCACCAAGCCGAACGAUUCUCUAGCUGGUCUGAGAGGAUGACCAGCCACACUGGGACUGAGACACGGCCCAGACUCCUACGGGAGGCAGCAGUGGGGAAUAUUCGCGCAAUGGGGGCAACCCUGACGCAGCCAUGCCGCGUGAAUGAAGAAGGCCUUCGGGUUUGUAAAGUUCUUUCGGUAGCGAGGAAGGCAUUUAGUUUUAAUAAACUAAGUUGAUUUGACGUUUAACUACAGAAGAAGCACCGGCUAACUCCGUGCCAGCAGCCGCGGUAAUACGGAGGGUGCGAGCGUUAAUCGGAAUAACUGGGCGUAAAGGGCACGCAGGCGGUGACUUAAGUGAGGUGUGAAAGCCCCGGGCUUAACCUGGGAAUUACAUUUCAUACUGGGUCGCUAGAGUACUUUAGGGAGGGGUAGAAUUCCACGUGUAGCGGUGAAAUGCGUAGAGAAUGUGGAGAAAUACCGAAAGGCGAAAGGCAGCCCCUUGGGAAUGUACUGACGCGCAAUGUGCGAAGCGUGGGGAGCAAACAGGAUUAGAUACCCUGGUAGUCCACGCUGUAAACGAUGUCGAUUUGGGGGUUGAACUUUAAAGUUUGGCGCCCGUAGCUAAACGUGAUAAAUCGACCGCCUGGGGAGUACGGCCGCAAAGGUUAAAACUUCAAAAUGAAAUUGACGGGGGCCCGCACGAAGCGGUGGAGCAUGUGGUUUGAAUUCGAUGCAACGCGAAAGAACUCUUACCUACUCUUGACUUCCAGAGAACAUUCCAGAGAUGGAUUGGUGCCUUUCGGGAAACUCUGAGAACAGGUGCUGCAUGAGCUGUUCGUUCAGCUCGUGUUGUGAAAAUGUUGGGUUAAGUCCCGCGAACGAGCGCGAACCCUUAUCCUUUGUUGCCGAGCGAUUAGGUCGGGAGACUCGAAAGGAGACUGCCGGUGAUAAACCGGAGGAAAGGUGGGGAUGAACGUCGAAGUCAUCGUGGCCCUUACGAGUAGGGCUACGCGACGUGCUACGAAUGGCGUAUAC
rnacentral:rRNA from 1 species